rnacentral:rRNA from 1 species
AUUGAACGCUGGCGGCAGGCCUAACACAUGCAAGUCGAGCGGAUGAAGGGAGCUUGCUCCUGGAUUCAGCGGCGGACGGGUGAGUAAUGCCUAGGAAUCUGCCUGGUAGUGGGGGAUAACGUCCGGAAACGGGCGCUAAUACCGCAUACGUCCUGAGGGAGAAAGUGGGGGAUCUUCGGACCUCACGCUAUCAGAUGAGCCUAGGUCGGAUUAGCUAGUUGGUGGGGUAAAGGCCUACCAAGGCGACGAUCCGUAACUGGUCUGAGAGGAUGAUCAGUCACACUGGAACUGAGACACGGUCCAGACUCCUACGGGAGGCAGCAGUAGGGAAUAUUGGACAAUGGGCGAAAGCCUGAUCCAGCCAUGCCGCGUGUGUGAAGAAGGUCUUCGGAUUGUAAAGCACUUUAAGUUGGGAGGAAGGGCAGUAAGUUAAUACAUUGCUGUUUUGACGUUACCAACAGAAUAAGCACCGGCUAACUUCGUG